UGUUAAUUAGUUUAAGUAAAACAUAAACUUUGUAAGUUUAAAUUGAUAAAGAAAAU
rnacentral:tRNA from 1 species